CUUUCUCUACCCGACACCCUUUUCUUCCCCUCUUCAUCGCCGUUCUUCUCCCGAUUCGUCCCCACCAAGCACCUGAUUGCCGGCAUCGACGCCCCCUGAGGUCCGAUCCGGUUGGUGCCUUCUUCUCUAGGCCGUAGACACUCGGAGCUUGCUGAAAAUCGAGUGAGGAGCCCCGGAUCAUCCCGACACCGACGAAUCACCGAUCCAUUGUCGUCGACAUUCGAGGGCCCACCUGACGCCGUCGUCGCCUUCCUUUUCUUGGCCACGGACAUUUGUCAUUAGCCGGAACUCGAGCUCCCUUUUUGUGUCAUUACCCUAGAUCGCCGACCACGCUGACAUCGUCGCAUCUCCUCGCGCCAACGGUCGACGCCACUGCUCCUCCACACGAGGCCAGAUCAGCGAUGUUGUAGUCGUCGCUAUUGCGAGGGUGAGCUAUCGGACUUCCUCUCGAUCUUGCCGAUGCCAUCGCCCAGCACCUGAGGUGCAUCUCGUGCCCUAGCCUCGAUCCUUCUUUAGUGGAGCUCUCCCUCUUCUUGAUAUUUCACCACCAUUUCUUGUAACUUGUCGGUUGGAUCUUUCUGCAAGCAUAUGUCAACACUGACGGUUUCUUGUAUCUGCACCCGGAUGUCUUCACCAAGUUUCUGUAGAUCUAUAGAUGGGAAUAAGGACUCUGAUUCGAGACGAGAGUCUCGACGUCGGAUUGGUUUGAUACGAUCUUCAUUUUGAGGAGACAUGGUGUGUUUGAUCUGAUGACCCUUAUGUCAGGAUACGAGGCUCUGGUGUGUACAGCUUCUUCUGUUGUACAGUUGUUCAUUUCCUGUUAUUGUUCAGGAGUCUGUACUCCAUGAUUAUUUCUGGUAGAUGAUUAAGUAGUUGCUUAGAGGUUUUCAUUCUAAGAUUGGUGUUCAUUCUAUUUUUGUAUUAUGCUUCUGGUACUUUGUAAUUGGUCUUGUUAUUAUGUUAUGUUAUAUUGUUUGUGGUUUUGAGUCUUGUAGUCAUGUUUAUUUAUUUUGGGUUUUGUAUUGUGGUAUAAGUCAUGUCGGCAUGCAGUCAGUGUAUUAUCUUGUGUGGUUUAUGUUUGUACCAGCCGUGUAGGAUGAGUAUUAUAUUUUUGUUGUCUUCCGCUGUGUUUU